CCUACGGGAGGCAGCAGUGGGGAAUAUUGCACAAUGGGGGAAACCCUGAUGCAGCGACGCCGCGUGAGUGAAGAAGUAUUUCGGUAUGUAAAGCUCUAUCAGCAGGAACGAGACAAGACGGUACCUGACGAAGAAGCCCCGGCUAACUACGUGCCAGCAGCCGCGGUAAUACGUAGGGGGCAAGCGUUAUCCGGAAUCACUGGGUGUAAAGGGAGCGUAGACGGCUGAGCAAGCCUGAAGUGAAAGGCGGGGGCCCAACCCCCGGACUGCUUUGGGAACUGUACGGCUGGAGUGCAGGGGAGGUAAGUGGAAUUCCUGGUGUAGCGGUGAAAUGCGUAGAUAUUGGGAGGAACACCGGUGGCGAAGGCGGCUUACUGGACUGUAACUGACGUUGAGGCUCGAAAGCGUGGGGAGCAAACAGGAUUAGAUACCCCAGUAGUC
rnacentral:rRNA from 1 species